AGAAAAGGGAAACAAGAAAGAGACCCAACGAAAUUCAUACAAUGGGGUUUAGUUAAUUUGGAAUAUUGUGGACGUGUUAUGAAAGCGUCACUUCAGCUUCUUUGAAUCUCAUACGAAGUUACUGUUCCCAAAAUAAUGUGUGAACAUCAAUAGAUCAAAUAAUGCUCGAAAAGGCUUUAGAAAAAGUAGACAGAUAUAUAGAUGUUGCUUUCCACUUUACCAAUUUCUUGCAUCACAUUUCCUAGAGCAAGAAGCUGAUGCUGGCUUUACUUAUUCUUCAACUGGUUCGUUAGUUUGGAGCAAUCUUGAUUGGGCCUACAGAUAUGAGUAAUUGAAGACAGGAAACAGGACAGGUCAACAGCUAAGAAACUCUCAUGGCAUUCUCAUUUUCUCUUGCAGCCUUUAUUCACCCUCAACUCCGGCAUGUUGUAGCGAAGAUGUCUCUCUUUGACACAAUCUUGUUCUAUGUGGUACAUCUUUUGGACAAGUUUGAUCUAUGGCAUAGAUUACCAGUGUUACUCGGGUUGGCUUACCUAGGACUAAGAAGACACUUACACCAGCGAUACAACCUCUUACAUGUUGGAGAAGUUAAUGGCAAGAAAUAUGACACAGAAGAGUUU